UACGUAGGGCGCAAGCGUUAUCCGGAAUUAUUGGCGUAAAGAGCUCGUAGGCGGUUUGUCGCGUCUGCUGUGAAAAUCCGGGACUCAACCCCGGACUUGCAGUGGGUACGGGCAGACUAGAGUGUGGUAGGGGAGACUGGAAUUCCUGGUGUAGCGGUGAAAUGCGCAGAUAAUCAGGAGGAACACCGAUGGCGAAGGCAGGUCUCUGGGCCACUACUGACGUGAGAAGCGAAAGCAUGGGAGC
rnacentral:rRNA from 1 species